rnacentral:rRNA from 1 species
AAUGGAUAAGUGCUGAAGGCAUCUAAGCACGAAGCCAACCUCAAGAUAAGAUUUCCCUCCGCAAGGGUAAGACCCCAGGAAGACUACCUGGUUGAUAGGCUCUAGGUGUAAGUGCAGUAAUGCAUUCAGCUUAAGAGUACUAAUAGGUCGAGGACUUGACCU